UACGGAAGGUGCAAGCGUUGUUCGGAUUGACUGGGCGUAAAGGGCGCGUAGGUGGUGUUGUGUGUCGGGUGUGAAAGCCCCGGGCUUAACCUGGGAACUGCACUCGAAACUGCAGCACUUGAAUGUCUGAGAGGUUGGCGGAAUUCCAGGUGUAGGAGUGAAAUCCGUAGAUAUCUGGAGGAAUACCGGAGGCGAAAGCGGCUGACCAGCAGAACAUUGACGCUGAGGCGCGAAAGCGUGGGGAGCAAACAGG
rnacentral:rRNA from 1 species